rnacentral:rRNA from 2 species
AGAGUUUGAUCCUGGCUCAGGAUGAACGCCGGCGGUGUGCCUAAUACAUGCAAGUCGAACGCGUUGGCCCAAUUGAUUGAUGGUGCUUGCACCUGAUUGAUUUUGGUUGCCAGCGAGUGGCGGACGGGUGAGUAACACGUAGGUAACCUGCCCAGAAGCGGGGGACAACAUUUGGAAACAGAUGCUAAUACCGCAUAACAGCGUUGUUCGCAUGAACAACGCUUAAAAGAUGGCUUCUCGCUAUCACUUCUGGAUGGACCUGCGGUGCAUUAGCUUGUUGGUGGGGUAACGGCCUACCAAGGCGAUGAUGCAUAGCCGAGUUGAGAGACUGAUCGGCCACAAUGGGACUGAGACACGGCCCAUACUCCUACGGGAGGCAGCAGUAGGGAAUCUUCCACAAUGGGCGCAAGCCUGAUGGAGCAACACCGCGUGAGUGAAGAAGGGUUUCGGCUCGUAAAGCUCUGUUGUUAAAGAAGAACACGUAUGAGAGUAACUGUUCAUACGUUGACGGUAUUUAACCAGAAAGUCACGGCUAACUACGUGCCAGCAGCCGCGGUAAUACGUAGGUGGCAAGCGUUAUCCGGAUUUAUUGGGCGUAAAGAGAGUGCAGGCGGUUUUCUAAGUCUGAUGUGAAAGCCUUCGGCUUAACCGGAGAAGUGCAUCGGAAACUGGAUAACUUGAGUGCAGAAGAGGGUAGUGGAACUCCAUGUGUAGCGGUGGAAUGCGUAGAUAUAUGGAAGAACACCAGUGGCGAAGGCGGCUACCUGGUCUGCAACUGACGCUGAGACUCGAAAGCAUGGGUAGCGAACAGGAUUAGAUACCCUGGUAGUCCAUGCCGUAAACGAUGAGUGCUAGGUGUUGGAGGGUUUCCGCCCUUCAGUGCCGGAGCUAACGCAUUAAGCACUCCGCCUGGGGAGUACGACCGCAAGGUUGAAACUCAAAGGAAUUGACGGGGGCCCGCACAAGCGGUGGAGCAUGUGGUUUAAUUCGAAGCUACGCGAAGAACCUUACCAGGUCUUGACAUCUUGCGCCAACCCUAGAGAUAGGGCGUUUCCUUCGGGAACGCAAUGACAGGUGGUGCAUGGUCGUCGUCAGCUCGUGUCGUGAGAUGUUGGGUUAAGUCCCGCAACGAGCGCAACCCUUGUUACUAGUUGCCAGCAUUAAGUUGGGCACUCUAGUGAGACUGCCGGUGACAAACCGGAGGAAGGUGGGGACGACGUCAGAUCAUCAUGCCCCUUAUGACCUGGGCUACACACGUGCUACAAUGGACGGUACAACGAGUCGCGAACUCGCGAGGGCAAGCAAAUCCCUUAAAACCGUUCUCAGUUCGGACUGCAGGCUGCAACUCGCCUGCACGAAGUCGGAAUCGCUAGUAAUCGCGGAUCAGCAUGCCGCGGUGAAUACGUUCCCGGGCCUUGUACACACCGCCCGUCACACCAUGAGAGUUUGUAACACCCAAAGUCGGUGGGGUAACCUUUUAGGAGCCAGCCGCCUAAGGUGGGACAGAUGAUUAGGGUGAAGUCGUAACAAGGUAGCCGUAGGAGAACCUGCGGCUGGAUCACCUCCUU